rnacentral:rRNA from 1 species
UGGGGAAUAUUGGACAAUGGGGGCAACCCUGAUCCAGCCAUGCCGCGUGAGUGAAGAAGGCCUUCGGGUUGUAAAGCUCUUUUAGUCGGAAAGAAAAGAUCAUAAUGAACAAUUAUGAUUCAUGACGGUACCGACAGAAAAAGCACCGGCUAACUACGUGCCAGCAGCCGCGGUAAUACGUAGGGUGCGAGCGUUAAUCGGAAUUACUGGGCGUAAAGGGUGCGCAGGCGGUUUUGUAAGUCAGAUGUGAAAUCCCCGGGCUUAACCUGGGAAUUGCGUUUGAAACUGCAAGACUAGAGUGCAGCAGAGGGGAGUGGAAUUCCAUGUGUAGCAGUGAAAUGCGUAGAGAUGUGGAAGAACACCGAUGGCGAAGGCAGCUCCCUGGGUUGACACUGACGCUCAUGCACGAAAGCGUGGGGAGCAAACA